ACCUCAAACCCUUCAUCUUUCCUUUAUCUUUGCCCUCAGGGCACCCCAAACCCUCCAUCCUUCCUUUAUCCCUGCUCUGGGCACCCCAAACCCUCCAUCCCCCCUUUAUCCCUGCUCUGGGCACCCCAAACCCUCCAUCCCUCACCCCAGCAGCCAGGGGGGCUCAGAGAGGGGGGUGUUGGUGCCUUUCCCAGCACUUCUCCCCUUUACUCCAGAAAAUUCCACACGUGGCCAAUCCCACCUGGAGGGAAAAGCCCCCGAGGUCCAGCCAGAGCUGCCCUAAAUCCUCGUUGGCCACUUGCCCAAAAGCAAAGACCCCUCCCCACAGUGAGGAGGGGUCCCCUGCCAGCCUGGGGGCUCCUCUCCCAAGCCCCCGUCUCCCACAUGGGGUGGGGGGUCCCUGUGGGAGGGGGAUUCUCCCCUUCCUGCCUGGCUGGGUUUGUCUGCAGGCCUGGAAUGUGCAGGGGGUGGGGAUGAGACCCCCCCCAUUUCCCCCAGGUCUGGCAGGGGGGGCCCGGAGCAGCUCCUGGUCCCUCUCCCACAGGGACACCUGCACCCCUUGGCCCCAGGCUUUGCUUUUCCUUCUCUUCCUGGCUGCAAGCAAUAUGUUUUCAGGUUGAAACGGGGUAGGGGUGGGAAAGGGGGAUGAAAACAACUGAUAAAAACCCGGGUAGAGCUCCCAAAUUAAUUUUACUGUACAAAGUUCUGUGCUUGCAGCCCUGGCUGCACAGUAGCUUUAGAGUCCAGUUGUUUUCCUAAUAUUUUUAUGCUAAUUUAAUUGCUGUUAAAAUUUCCAGGCCAAGCAACUGUUUGGAAACACCAUGCUUGUUUUAGUGCUUUCUGUUGGAGUUGGCCAGCUCUUCCUGUACAUAUGUUGUUUUUUUUUUUCUUAUAUCCUGUUUUUUUCUUCUUUGUUUUGUAAAGAGAAGAGAAAAAAAAAACAAAAAAAAGAAAAAUUAUUUUUCUUUCCCUCAGUACACAUUCUUCAAAUUAUAGUGUUUGUUAAAUAAAAUGAAAGAUUUACAUUUAAUUCUGUGUCGG
rnacentral:lncRNA from 1 species